ACUCAAAGGAAUUGACGGGGACCCACACAAGCGGUGGAGCAUGUUGUUUAAUUCGAUAGCAAACGGGGAACCUUACCCAGGCUUGACAUCUCUGGAAUCCUAAAGAAAUUUGGGAGUGCCGCAAGGAACCAGAAGACAAGCGCUGCAUGGUCGUCGUCAGCUCGUGCCUUGAGGUGUUCGGUUAGGUCCGUGAACGAGCGCAACCCUCGUCCUUAGUUACAUGUUUCUAAGGAGACUGCCCAUGUUAAAUGGGAGGAAGGUGAGGAUGACGUCAGAUCAGCAUGGCCUUUAUGCCUGGGGCUACUAACGUGCUACAAUGGGGCGUACAAAGGGAAGCCAAGUCGUAAGAUGGAGCCAAUCCCAGAAAGCGCCUCCCAGUUCGGAUUGAGGGCUGCAACUCGACCUCAUGAAGUUGGAAUCGCUAGUAAUCGUGUAUCAGAUAUGACACGGUGAAUAUGUUCCUGGGUCUUGUACACACCGCCCGU
rnacentral:rRNA from 1 species